rnacentral:rRNA from 1 species
GGUGAAAAGCACCCCGGAAGGGGAGUGAAAUAGAACCUGAAACCGUGUGCUUACAAGUAGUCAGAGCCCGUUAAUGGGUGAUGGCGUGCCUUUUGUAGAAUGAACCGGCGAGUUACGAUUUGAUGCAAGGUUAAGCAGUAAAUGUGGAGCCGUAGCGAAAGCGAGUCUGAAUAGGGCGUUUAGUAUUUGGUCGUAGACCCGAAACCAGGUGAUCUACCCUUGGUCAGGUUGAAGUUCAGGUAACACUGAAUGGAGGACCGAACCGACUUACGUUGAAAAGUGAGCGGAUGAACUGAGGGUAGCGGAGAAAUUCCAAUCGAACCUGGAGAUAGCUGGUUCUCUCCGAAAUAGCUUUAGGGCUAGCCUCAAGUGAUGAUUAUUGGAGGUAGAGCACUGUUUGGACGAGGGGCCCCUCUCGGGUUACCGAAUUCAGACAAACUCCGAAUGCCAAUUAAUUUAACUUGGGAGUCAGAACAUGGGUGAUAAGGUCCGUGUUCGAAAGGGAAACAGCCCAGACCACCAGCUAAGGUCCCAAAAUAUAUGUUAAGUGGAAAAGGAUGUGGCGUUGCCCAGACAACUAGGAUGUUGGCUUAGAAGCAGCCAUCAUUUAAAGAGUGCGUAAUAGCUCACUAGUCGAGUGACACUGCGCCGAAAAUGUACCGGGGCUAAACAUAUUACCGAAGCUGUGGAUUGUCCUUUGGACAAUGGUAGGAGAGCGUUCUAAGGGCGUUGAAGCAUGAUCGUAAGGACAUGUGGAGCGCUUAGAAGUGAGAAUGCCGGUGUGAGUAGCGAAAGACGGGUGAGAAUCCCGUCCACCGAUUGACUAAGGUUUCCAGAGGAAGGCUCGUCCGCUCUGGGUUAGUCGGGUCCUAAGCUGAGG